UUCUUAUUAAUUUAUUUAUAAGUAUUACCUGCUCAAUGAUUUAAAUAGCCGCAGAACUUUUACUGUGCUAAGGUAGCGUAAUCAUUAGCCUCUUAAUUAGAGGCCUGUAUGAACGGUAAAACAUUUUAAUUUCUAUCAUAAUAUCAUAUAUUAAAUUUAUAUUAAAAAUAAAAAUAUUUUUAUUUUUUAAGAAGACGACAAGACCCUAUUGAACUUUACUUCAGUUUAGCUGGGGCAGCUAUUUAAUAAUAAUUUUAAUUUUAUCCGUUAAAUAAAUGACCCUAUUUAAUAGAGCCUAUGUAAAAAGUUACCAUAGGGAUAACAGCGUAAUUUUAUUUUAGAGAUCUUAUCAAAAAUAAAGAUUGCGACCUCGAUGUUGAAUUACUGUUACUAAAAGGCGCAAUAGCUAAUAAAGUAGGUCUGUUCGACCUUUAAUUCAUUACAU
rnacentral:rRNA from 1 species